rnacentral:rRNA from 1 species
CCUACGGGGGGCUGCAGUGGGGAAUAUUGCACAAUGGGGGAAACCCUGAUGCAGCGACGCCGCGUGAGUGAAGAAGUAUUUCGGUAUGUAAAGCUCUAUCAGUAGGGAAGAAAAUGACUGUACCUGAUUAAGAAGGUAUGGCCAACUACGUGCCAGCAGCCGCGGUAAUACGGAGGGGGCAAGCGUUAUCCGGAUUUACUGGGUGUAAAGGGAGCGUAGAGGGCAGCACAAGUCUGGAGGGAAAUGCCCGUGGCUCAACCGCGGAACUGCUUUGGAAACUGUAUAGCUUGAGUACUGGAGAGGCAGGCGGAAUUCGUGGUGUAGCGGUGAAAUGCUUAGAUAUUAGGAAGAACACCAGUGGCGAAGGCGGCCUGCUGGACUGAAACUGACGCUGAGGCUCGAAAGCGUGGGUAGCAAACAGGAUUAGAUACCCGAGUAGUC